UAUUGGUUAGUAAUUAUACACUAAGUUUUGAUCUUAGAGAUGCUAUUUUAGCACCAAUAA
rnacentral:tRNA from 1 species